rnacentral:rRNA from 1 species
AUUGAACGCUGGCGGCAGGCCUAACACAUGCAAGUCGAGCGGAUGAAGGGAGCUUGCUCCUGGCUUCAGCGGCGGACGGGUGAGUAAUGCCUAGGAAUCUGCCUGGUAGUGGGGGAUAACGUCCGGAAACGGGCGCUAAUACCGCAUACGUCCUGAGGGAGAAAGUGGGGGAUCUUCGGACCUCACGCUAUCAGAUGAGCCUAGGUCGGAUUAGCUAGUUGGUGGGGUAAAGGCCUACCAAGGCGACGAUCCGUAACUGGUCUGAGAGGAUGAUCAGUCACACUGGAACUGAGACACGGUCCAGACUCCUAAGGGAGGCAGCAGUGGGGAAUAUUGGACAAUGGGCGAAAGCCUGAUCCAGCCAUGCCGCGUGUGUGAAGAAGGUCUUCGGAUUGUAAAGCACUUUAAGUUGGGAGGAAGGGCAGUAAGUUAAUACCUUGCUGUUUUGACGUUACCAACAGAAUAAGCACCGGCUAACUUCGUG